GCCAAUGUAGGGACUCUAUGGGGUCGCUAUGGGGAUUCUACGGGGUUGGGGACCCUAUGGGGACACUAUAGGGACACUGUGGGGUUGGGGACGCCAUGGGGUCUCCAUGGGGUCGCUGUGGGGGCUCUAUGGGGUUGGGGACAUUAUGGGGUCGCUAUGGGGACACUGUGGGGUCGGGGGACGCUGUGGGGAUUCUAUGGGGUCGCUAUGGGGUUGGGGACACGAUGGGGGCUCUGUGGGGUCGCUGUAGGGACUGCAUGGGGGCUCUGUGGGGUUGGGGGCACAACGACCCCAUUUCUCCCCAAAUGUCCCCAUAAUGAGUCCCGCUGUCCCCAAAUUGUCCCCAAUUGUCCCCAAAUUGUCCCCAUGUUGCCGAAGGUCCCCGUUUUCCCCGAUUUGUCCCCAAACGUCCCCAAAUUGUCCCCAGUUGCCCCCCAAAUGUCCCCAAUUGUCCCCAAAUGGCCCCGUGUGGCCCCAAAUGGCCCCAAAUUGUCCCCAGAUGUCCCCAGUAACCCCAAAUGUUCCCCAAUGUCCCCAAUGGCCCCGCUGUCCCCAAAUGUCCCCAGUGUCCCCAAAGUCCCCAAAUGUCCCCAAUGUCUCCACUGUCCCCAAAUGUCCCCAAAUGUCCCCAAAGUCCCCAAAUGUCCCCAAUGUCCCCAGUGUCCCCAAAGAUCCCCCGCUGUCCCCCAAUGUCCCCAAAGUCCCCAAAUGUCCCCAAAGUCCCCAAUGUCCCCCAAUGUCCCCACUGUCCCCAAAGUCCCCAGGGACCCCAAA
rnacentral:lncRNA from 1 species